rnacentral:rRNA from 1 species
UACGGGGGGAGCAAGCGUUGUUCGGAUUUACUGGGCGUAAAGGGCGCGUAGGCGGCCACCGCAAGUCGACUGUGAAAUCUCCGGGCUUAACCCGGAAAGGUCAGCCGAUACUGCGGGGCUAGAGUGCAGAAGGGGCAACUGGAAUUCUCGGUGUAGCGGUGAAAUGCGUAGAUAUCGAGAGGAACACCUGCGGCGAAGGCGGGUUGCUGGGCUGACACUGACGCUGAGGCACGAAAGCGUGGGGAUCAAACAGG